rnacentral:lncRNA from 1 species
UAUUAACAUGCCAAUGGUAGGAUAUGCAUCUUGUAUAAAUGACUAAGACCGACUAAGGCUAAUUUGAGAGGUGGUCGGAGGGGUUCUGAUCCCGAAAUCCUGAAAUCGAAAAAUAUAUUCCCGAAUCUCGCAAGGAUCAAUCCCAAAAUCUUGAGCUUAAAAAUAGAGUGAAAAAUAAAAAGGCAGGACAGAGAUAACAGCUAAAAAAAAAUGCAGGACAACAUUUUUCAUCCUUGAUUGAUACGUUGUUCUGUGCAGCAUUUUUUGUGAUUCUUUAUAUCCUUAUGUGUAGUAUAUGAUAAAUAUUCAGAAUUAUAUUGCAUCCGGUCAUCAUCUCUUAUGGUCCCGCAACCUGCCGAUACUAAUGGUUCUGCAUUGAACUAUCUCAUACUUUUGUAUAAACUUGUGCUUAUGUUUUUGUGCUAAAUCCGUUGGAAGUGUAUUACCGAGUUGAUAUUUAAGUUAUGGAAAAUAACCCGGUAUCAUUGUUUCUUAAAUUAAAUUGUUUUCUGAAAUAGGUCUUGAAAAAUUAUCAGACAGAAGGAAGAAGCAUAAACUUACUACAUUUUAUAAAAUAAAAAAUGGAUUUUCUCCAAGUUAUAUGAUAGAUUUAUUAGAACUUUGUUUUCUCACACCGAAUGAUUACAAUCUUAGGAGAGACUCUCAGAA